rnacentral:rRNA from 1 species
AUUGAACGCUGGCGGCAGGCCUAACACAUGCAAGUCGAGCGGUAGAGAGAAGCUUGCUUCUCUUGAGAGCGGCGGACGGGUGAGUAAUGCCUAGGAAUCUGCCUGGUAGUGGGGGAUAACGUUCGGAAACGGACGCUAAUACCGCAUACGUCCUACGGGAGAAAGCAGGGGACCUUCGGGCCUUGCGCUAUCAGAUGAGCCUAGGUCGGAUUAGCUAGUUGGUGGGGUAAUGGCUCACCAAGGCGACGAUCCGUAACUGGUCUGAGAGGAUGAUCAGUCACACUGGAACUGAGAAACGGGCCAGACUCCUACGGGAGGCAGCAGUGGGGAAUAUUGGACAAUGGGCGAAAGCCUGAUCCAGCCAUGCCGCGUGUGUGAAGAAGGUCUUCGGAUUGUAAAGCACUUUAAGUUGGGAGGAAGGGCAGUAAAUUAAUACUUUGCUGUUUUGACGUUACCGACAGAAUAAGCACCGGCUAACUCUGUGCCAGCAGCCGCCGUAA